GAGACAGAGAGAGAGAGACACAGGAGGAAGAAAAAAAAAAGGAAGCGUGUGUUUGUGUGUGUGUACGACUGGACGUGCGCGUGUGCUUGUGCAUCAACGUAUAAACCCUGGAGAUUGCCCCGUGUUAUAAACAUUUACGCCGGGCUAACAGAUCAUCUCCGAGAUCCGGGAUUGGUCCGACUCCCCCUCUGUCCCCCCGGCGAAUUGAAAGCCCAAGAUUAGCGAGAUGAUAGCUUUUCAGAUUGGCGAGGAAACACAGAAAUGAGUUUCACCGGGUGAGUUUACGGAGGUUAGAUUGGAGCAGUUAAACGGCGGAUAAAUUGAUGGUUCUCUCAUUGUCUCUCCACCAGUAUAGCGGCUAAAUCUAUUAACCGUCAACGACCCGUUUCGCCUCGCUAGAAAAGCAGAGACUACAGGCGAGGACGGGGAGAGGGAGGUUUGAGUAAAGUGGAAAUAUUUGGGGGGAGCUGAGGAAAAUGAGAAGAGGCCUCUGUGAUUAAAGACACUGUGUUCAGGAGAGCGCUGUGACGCUGUUUUGCUGUGAAGCUCCAGAAACGUUGUGUGAACCACGAGACAUCAUCACUUUCAUUCCCACUUUCCGUCGGCGAGAGGUUGAGUAGAUCAUCACUGAAUUUUCAUUUCUGAGUGAACUUAUUGCUUCGGCACAAUUUUGGGGCACUUGUACUUUAUUUGAGAAUUUUCAUUUUUAGCUACUUCAGACUCUGACCUGAGUCCUUCACAAAGAAAUUCUCCCACAAGUUCAGCAGCAUUUAACUGCAUAAAGAAAUUAUCCACAGGCUUGUCGAGGCGACCGAGAGAGAGAGAGAGAGAGAGAGCGACGUCACAUUACAGUCCGCUCACAUACGACCAAUAAAAGUGAUUCACACAUUUAAUACAUACAUGCAAAUGACUACAAACUGUUACAUGCUAUAAGUAAAUAACAUGCUAAUACUUCUAUACAAGUGCUGCAACACAUUGAGCUCAGGGCUAGCUAGCAUCAGCAUGCUAACAUGAUCUGCUAACAUUCUGGUUACUGGUAUAAAGUUCACAGAUUUAGCUGAACAUGUUAACAUGCUGUUAUGAUCAGCACAACAAUAAAAGCAUGGGAAUUAGAUAGGAAUGUAAUUAGUUGACAAAUUAAAUGUUUUACCUCAUGGUAGCACUUUACUGUACGGACAGCGACGGGGUCACCAGAAACAGGGGAGCAAGAAAUGUCAAGAAAUGUAAUUUAAAACCAAAGACUUUGGUCUUUUGCCUCAUUUAAUAAUGAGGGGCUCGUUCAACUCCUUACAGUCAGUUUGUAUUGGCUGGUUAUUGGCAAUCCUCCGUAUAGUGAUUGAGAUAUUUCAGUGUGGACUAAAGCUGCAGAUUGACUGACAAAUGCACAGAUGUUGCUUUUCCUAAAGACACAUCAUUGGCAUACCUAAAAAUCACACACGUUUUAAUUGAACAAAUAAAUAUUAAGAGUUUAAUUUCAAACUUUUACUGACUUCAAGACCAGUUUGUCCUCAUUUGAUUGUUGACAGAAAUGAAACUCUAAACACUUUUGGAUUGUCCACAACAUCACAAAAAAAAUACAUUCGAGUCAAACACUUGUGUUCUGUGGUGUGUAACAUUCAAUUUGUUAAAGGUUUAGCAAAAGAAAAACACUCUUCAGAGCUGUGAGGUUACGCACCAAAGAAACACGGCCUUUUCACUACAGCACAGCAGAACAACACACACACACACACACACACACACAUAUAUAUACAGUACAACCAGAGACACACAACUAAUCCUUCUUGCAGAAUUAACUGCAUCACAAGUCCUGGUCGCAUUAGAAAGUUGAUAAAUUACAUUUGAUAAAAGUCUCUUCAAUAGACUGGGUCAGUGUGCAGACUGUGUGUUUGAGUGUGUGUCGGCAUGCAUGUGUGUCUGUGUGUGUGCGCGCACAGCGCCUCACUGCCACGGAGUUUGAAGAGAAACACUUUAGAGGAGGAAUUUAAUGAGUCCAUUUAGUGAUGAUUAAAUAGAAUGACAGUCAAAUGAUGUGGACUUGGUUUUAAUAAGAGCCAUCUCCAUAAUCCCCCAAUCUGUAAAUAUCUGCUCCGGCAGAGUCCACACAGGGCUGGAUUUAAAGUUCCACUCUGAUUCUGCUCUGACACGAAAGAAACGGAAAAGACCCCUCUUCAUCCCUGCACCCCCCCGACCACUCGCCCCUCGCUUACAGACGAGUAUCAGGGAAACGCCCGGCUACUGGAUCACACAGUACCACGGCAUCCCGGGGAGGGUUCUGAUUUGUAGGUCACAAAAGAUUUCAGCAGUUAUGUUAAAACUAAAAGAUAUAAGACGUUACAGGUUCCCUUUAUUCGAAUGUUGCAGCAAGAACUACAGAACGCUGCGGAAGGAUAUAUUUACCAUUUUAAAGUUUAAUGUACACAGCAAAAUGACGUGCACUGAAGCAAAGUCAUUCCAGUCUGAAGGAAAACAAUAAAAGUCGCUUAUUCUUUGCUUGAAUGCUGAUGACAAGAUUAAAACGUUGCUUCUGCGCUGCCAGGUCCGUCCACUCACAUCAGCUAACACAAAAUGUGACUAUAUGCAACGAUGCAUCCAUGAAGAUUGUUACGUAGGUGUCCCUCAGCAACAUCUUUAACCAUCUUGUUGACUCGUUUUUCUUUUCGAUGUAAACAAAUCUGCCACAUACACGUUUAACAGGUGACAUGAAAGUGAAGGUACCAGAUUUCUGUAUCCUUAACAAAGUAAUAGUGCUGCUGUAAGUAAUACAUGUAACACCUCUUUAUAAAGCCAGUUCUUAAAUUUGUCCUUGUCACACUGGACAAAAAACCCACUAAUAUCCAGAUUCGGUCUUUAAUAAGAAUGUGUAUAAUGAGUAUUUGCUCCAGUGUCAAAUGACUCUGUUUGUAAAUGUAAUCUAACGAGAUUUAUCAUCUGCUGCUUUCAACUGGGAAAAAAGAGGAAGGCAAACUCAUCUCCUGUCAAAGUUAAAUGUCUUUUUUUAGCCUGCACAGACGCACUGACGCACUUAUAGUUUGACCCUACAGAUGGUAAAGUUGUGUUAUUUGUACACAGAUUUAAGCGGCAUGGUUGUUAUAGCACAUGCAAACAAGAAAAUAAUUUAUUGUGGAGUUCUGGGUUCAUUUUCAGUUCACCAGUGACGAAACAAAGUCUUGUUUUACUCAAAGAAAACUUUUACUUGAUUGUUUAAGUAGUCGAUAAAACCUUUGCGAACAUGUAAAAGUUCCCUCUGUGGCUACGGUUGUUUCAGAGCUGGUGAAAAGAAGAAAAAAAAGAAAAGAAAAGAAAAGAAAAGAGGGGUUUGACCUGAAAGUGUGAAGACAGAGGAGGAAGAGGAGGAAGAGGAGGAGAGCAGAGAGCAAGAUGUCUGGGAUGUUUUUGAGACGCUCUGAGAUGAAAAAGGUGAGAAGGGCCACAGGAAUGGUUUCCCAUGAUCCCGCUUGACCUGACCUGGGCCGGGCUACACUCGGCUGGUGGUGGUGUGGAAGAGUGUGUGUGUGCGUGUGUGUGUGUGUGUGUGUGUGUGUGUUGGGGGUGUUAGGGGUGUUUUCGGUCUGUCUCGCUGCUGUAAACAGUGCUCCUCAUGGGCAGAGGUUAGAAUCCACCUUCAAAAAAAAAA